AUUGAACGCUGGCGGCAUGCCUUACACAUACAAGUCGAACGGCAGCACGGGAGCAAUCCUGGUGGCGAGUGGCGAACGGGUGAGUAAAGUAUCGGAACGUGCCCAGUCGUGGGGGAUAACGUAGCGAAAGUUACGCUAAUACCGCAUACGAUCUAUGGACGAAAGCGGGGGAUCGCAAGACCUCGCGCGAUUGGAGCGGCCGAUAUCAGAUUAGGUAGUUGGUGGGGUAAAGGCUCACCAAGCCGACGAUCUGUAGCUGGUCUGAGAGGACGACCAGCCACACUGGGACGGGGACACGGCCCAGACUCCUACGGGAGGCAGCAGUGGGGAAUUUUGGACAAUGGGCGAAAGCCUGAUCCAGCCAUGCCGCGUGCAGGAUGAAGGCCUUCGGGUUGUAAACUGCUUUUGUACGGAACGAAAAGGUUUGGCCUAAUAAGCUGAGCUCAUGACGGUACCGUAAGAAUAAGUACCGGCUAACUACGUGCCAGCCGCCGCGGUAA
rnacentral:rRNA from 1 species